rnacentral:rRNA from 1 species
AUUGAACGCUGGCGGCAGGCUUAACACAUGCAAGUCGAGCGGGGUGAUGGUGCUUGCACUAUCACUUAGCGGCGGACGGGUGAGUAAUGCUUAGGAAUCUGCCUAUUAGUGGGGGACAACAUCUCGAAAGGGAUGCUAAUACCGCAUACGUCCUACGGGAGAAAGCAGGGGAUCACUUGUGAUCUUGCGCUAAUAGAUGAGCCUAAGUCGGAUUAGCUAGGUGGUGGGGUAAAGGCCUACCAAGGCGACGAUCUGUAGCGGGUCUGAGAGGAUGAUCCGCCACACUGGGACUGAGACACGGCCCAGACUCCUACGGGAGGCAGCAGUGGGGAAUAUUGGACAAUGGGGGGAACCCUGAUCCAGCCAUGCCGCGUGUGUGAAGAAGGCCUUAUGGUUGUAAAGCACUUUAAGCGAGGAGGAGGCUCUUUUGGUUAAUACCCAAGAUGAGUGGACGUUACUCGCAGAAUAAGCACCGGCUAACUCUGUGCCAGCAGCCGCGGUAA